CACCAGGUUGAUUCUGCCUGACGUGGAUGCUAGUCUCAUAGAUUUAGCCAUGCAUGUGUAAGCGAAGCGAUUAGUGGAGCGGCGGACGGCUCAGUAACAGGCAAGUAUUUGAUCUCCAUAACCGGACAACCUCAGGAAACAGAGGGGAAAACGGAUUAAGAGCAUGUGAAGAACAUGUGAUGAUAACUCAUUAGAGUGAUGGAGAGUAAGAAGUCAGCCCAUCAGUUAAUAUGUAGGGUAAGGGCCUACUUAGACGAAGACGGGUACGGGGGAUUAGGGUUUGAUUCCGGAGAGGGAGCCUGAGAGAUGGCUACCAGGUCUAAGGAACGCAGCAGGCACGAAAAUUACCGAAGCCCACGAAGGGGCGGUAGUGAAGAGACGUAAAAACAAUGAUCAGUAAAUAAGAUCUAGGUAACUGGAGGACAAGUCUGGUGCCAGCACCAGCGGUAAUACCAGCUCCAGGAGUGUCUAUGAUGAUUGCUGCGAUUAAAAGGUCCGUAGUCGAAUAGGAAGGCCCGUCUGUAAUGUGAAAUAUCAAGUUUGAAUAAGGACGGGAAGAACUAUGAAUAAGGAGCGAUAAGAGGCUAGAUUAUUGUAGAGCGAGGGGUGAAAUCUGAUGACCUCUACAGGAGUAACAGAGGCGAAGGCGCUAGCCGGGAGCGUUUCCGAUGAUCAAGGACGUAGGCCGGGGUAUCGAAAACGAUUAGAUACCGUAGUAGUCCCGGCAGUCAACGAUGCCGACACAGUUGGACAGAGAUGUGUGACUGAAGAGAAAUCGAGUAGGGCUAUGGGGAGAGUACGUGCGCAAGCAUAAAAUUUAAAGGAAAUUGACGGAAGAGCACCACAAGGAGUGGAGUGUGCGGCUUAAUUUGACUCAACGCGGGACAACUUACCAUCGCGGAUGGCCGGGAGAGUGUAGUACACGAUAGGUCAAGGAGUGGUGCAUGGCCGUUAUCGACUAGUGGGGUGACCUUUUGGUUAAUUCCGCUAAGUAGUGAGAUCUCUGGGAACCAAUUUAUUGGUACGACAUGUGUUAAAAACACAGGAAGAAAGAGCCAAGAACAGGUCAGUGAUGCCCUUAGGCGUGAUGGGCUGCACGCGCACUACAGUGGUCACAACAGAGAAUUAGAAGAAAUAAAUGUGAUCGAGAGGGAAUGAGCACUGUAAUGUGCACAGGAACGAGGAAUUGCUAGUAAUCGUUGCCUCAUUAAGGAGCGAUGAAUGAGUCCCUGCUCUUUGUACACACCGCCCGUCGUUAUCGAAGAUGAAACCAGGUGCGAACAAGCUAAAGCGAGUGAGUGCAGGGUUUUAGAUCUGAUACAAGUCGUAACAAGGCAGCUGUAGGUGAACCUGUAGCUGGAUCAAUA
rnacentral:rRNA from 1 species